UCGAACUACGUUUUGCUCUGAUUUUCAUCCCAGAUGAGAUACAUAGGCAUAAGACGCGAUGUCUUAGCGAGCACACUCCUCUUUAACCCAUAGGUAUCCGAGCUACGAAGACUCUAAUUCUCAGAUUCAGAUGAGAUACGUAUGCAGUGGAUGUGACGUCCGUGCGAGUCAUUUUCUUUUGACCCUUCUUUUAGUAAGUAGCACAUUAGAUAAAC
rnacentral:lncRNA from 1 species